CUAUUAAACUGUUUUGAUAAAUUUUAGAAUUUCGUCAGACAUAUUCGCUUGUAUGAAUUUAAUUUGAAUUGAAACGUGUAACGAAUGAUUUUCCUUAUUUAUUUAUUUGUUUUAUUAUCAUUAGAAAAGCAACAAAAUUUCGAAAAAGAUGGCUCUUUUAAUUAAGAAUUGCUUCGCAGUAUUCCAUGUCCCAUAGCUACAGGGAAUUAAAU